rnacentral:misc_RNA from 1 species
AAGUCGUAACAAGGUUUCCGUAGGUGAACCUGCGGAAGGAUCAUUACCGAGUCUUCCUGCUUCAGGAACUCCCACCCUUGACCAUCCGACGUUGCUUCGGCGAGACGUUGGCAACAGCCGUUGGCGGAAGAUCAAUUCUGCCGGCGCGGGCUCGCCGGAGUUUAACUCCAAAAUUUGUACUGUCAGAUAAACAAGCAAUUAAAAAA